rnacentral:misc_RNA from 1 species
AAGAGAAUAGUGUGAAUGUUCAAAAGGAAUAUAGCUGGUAUUUUAUAUCAAGGAGUUCCUGAAAAAUUGUAUGCCUGGUUGUUGACUUUUUUUCCUAUGCAUAGCAUAGAUAUUCUUUGGAUUUUCCUGCCUUUUUUUACUUCUAGAUUGCAAUUUUAUUUGCUUUACUUGCCAUCUGUUAUUAUGAAGUACUAUCUCAUGAUUUAUGUGAAGCAUGAUAAGUUGGUAUUGAUGAUUGGUUUGGAGUCAUGAUUUUCCCUCACAUUAAUUCAGAAGUAGAUCAGAAGAUGGCAAGGCUUCAGUGCUAGAGCAUGGCGGAAUUUGCCCUUUUCUUCCAUGUUAUUCUGGCAUUCUUCAAAACUAUGCCAAGUUCUAUAUGUUUAUCUUGCCAUUU